rnacentral:rRNA from 1 species
UGGUAGUGUAUUGGACAACCAUGGCAUUCACGGGCUAUCGGGGGAUUAGGGUUCGAUUCCGGAGAGGGAGCCUGAUAAACGGCUACCACUUCUACGGAAGGCAGCAGGCGCGAAAAUUAUCCAAUCCUGAUUCAGGGAGGUAGUGAAAGAAGUAAUGAACUAGGAUUUAUCCUGGGAUCACAAUGGGCUUGAUUUGCAAACACUUAGCGAGGAACAAUUGGAGGGCAAGUCUGGUGCCAGCAGCCGCGGUAAUUCCAGCUCCAAUAGAGUAUAUAAACGUUCCUGCAGUUAUUCGAUGCUCGUAGUUGGAUUUCUGAGGUUGAGACGGGAGGGUGGCUAUGGCCAUCGCCCGACUCUUUCCUCAUCCACCUGUUUGCGAAGUCCGGGAUUGAUUUCUCGGCUUCGGGCGCAGUAUCUCACCAUUUCAAUAUUCGUAGUCUUCAUCGAUUAUGUUGUUUCUUUGAGCAAAUUAUAGUGUUUCAGGCAGGCGUGCGCCGGAAUACAUUAGCAUGGUAUAAACGAAUUGGACCGUGUGCCCGUAACUGGGCUUCUCCUUAUUGUUGGUUUGAAGGACACGGAGAUGGUUAAUAGGGACAGCGUUUAUUUCACAAGGAGGCAUUAGUAUUUAAUUUCCAGAGGUGAAAUUCUUUGAAAUAUUAAAGACUAACUUAUGCGAAAGCAUCGUUUGCCAAUGAUGUUUUCAUUAAUCAUUGAACGAAAGUUAGGGGAUCAAAGACGAUCAGA